GUGGGGAAUAUUGGACAAUGGGGGCAACCCUGAUCCAGCAAUGCCGCGUGUGUGAAGAAGGUCUUCGGAUCGUAAAGCACUUUCGACGGGGACGAUGAUGACGGUACCCGUAGAAGAAGCCCCGGCUAACUUCGUGCCAGCAGCCGCGGUAAUACGAAGGGGGCUAGCGUUGCUCGGAAUUACUGGGCGUAAAGGGCGCGUAGGCGGCUCUGUUAGUCAGGCGUGAAAUUCCUGGGCUUAACCUGGGGACUGCGCCUGAUACUGCGGAGCUUGAGGCCGAGAGAGGGUGGUGGAAUUCCCAGUGUAGAGGUGAAAUUCGUAGAUAUUGGGAAGAACACCGGUGGCGAAGGCGACCACCUGGCUCGGUACUGACGCUGAGGCGCGACAGCGUGGGGAGCAAACAGGAUUAGAAACCCUGGUAGUCC
rnacentral:rRNA from 1 species